AACGAACGCUGGCGGCAGGCCUAACACAUGCAAGUCGAACGCUCGUAGCAAUACGAGAGUGGCAGACGGGUGAGUAACACGUGGGAACCUUCCCUAUGGUUCGGAAUAGCUCAGGGAAACUUGAGGUAAUACCGGAUAAGCCCUUACGGGGAAAGAUUUAUCGCCAUUGGAUGGGCCCGCGUCGGAUUAGCUAGUUGGUGAGGUAACGGCUCACCAAGGCGACGAUCCGUAGCUGGCUGAGAGGAUGAUCAGCCACACUGGGACUGAGACACGGCCCAGACUCCUACGGGAGGCAGCAGUGGGGAAUAUUGGACAAUGGGCGCAAGCCUGAUCCAGCCAUGCCGCGUGAGUGACGAAGGGCCUUAGGGUUGUAAAGCUCUUUUGGCGGGGAAGAUAAUGACGGUACCCGCAGAAUAAGCUCCGGCUAACUUCGUGCCAGCAGCAGCCGCCGU
rnacentral:rRNA from 1 species